AGGAUGAACGCUGGCGGCGUGCUUAACACAUGCAAGUCGACCGAUGAAGCCCAGCUUGCUGGGUGGAUUAGUGGCGAACGGGUGAGUAACACGUGAGUAACCUGCCCUUAACUCUGGGAUAAGCCUGGGAAACUGGGUCUAAUACCGGAUAGGAGCGUCCACCGCAUGGUGGGUGUUGGAAAGAUUUAUCGGUUUUGGAUGGACUCGCGGCCUAUCAGCUUGUUGGUGAGGUAAUGGCUCACCAAGGCGACGACGGGUAGCCGGCCUGAGAGGGUGACCGGCCACACUGGGACUGAGACACGGCCCAGACUCCUACGGGAGGCAGCAGUGGGGAAUAUUGCACAAUGGGCGAAAGCCUGAUGCAGCGACGCCGCGUGAGGGAUGACGGCCUUCGGGUUGUAAACCUCUUUCAGUAGGGAAGAAGCGAAAGUGACGGUACCUACAGAAGAAGCACCGGCUAACUACGUGCCAGCAGCCGCGGUAAUACGUAGGGUGCGAGCGUUAUCCGGAAUUAUUGGGCGUAAAGAGCUCGUAGGCGGUUUGUCGCGUCUGUCGUGAAAGUCCGGGGCUUAACCCCGGAUCUGCGGUGGGUACGGGCAGACUAGAGUGCAGUAGGGGAGACUGGAAUUCCUGGUGUAGCGGUGGAAUGCGCAGAUAUCAGGAGGAACACCGAUGGCGAAGGCAGGUCUCUGGGCUGUAACUGACGCUGAGGAGCGAAAGCAUGGGGGAGCGAACAG
rnacentral:rRNA from 1 species